GAUGAACGCUGGCGGCGUGCCUAAUACAUGCAAGUCGAGCGAACGGACGAGAAGCUUGCUUUUCUGAUGUUAGCGGCGGACGGGUGAGUAACACGUGGAUAACCUACCUAUAAGACUGGGAUAACUUCGGGAAACCGGAGCUAAUACCGGAUAAUAUUUUGAACCGCAUGGUUCAAAAGUGAAAGACGGUCUUGCUGUCACUUAUAGAUGGAUCCGCGCUGCAUUAGCUAGUUGGUAAGGUAACGGCUUACCAAGGCAACGAUGCAUAGCCGACCUGAGAGGGUGAUCGGCCACACUGGAACUGAGACACGGUCCAGACCCCUACGGGAGGCAGCAGUAGGGAAUCUUCCGCAAUGGGCGAAAGCCUGACGGAGCAACGCCGCGUGAGUGAUGAAGGUCUUCGGAUCGUAAAACUCUGUUAUUAGGGAAGAACAUAUGUGUAAGUAACUGUGCACAUCUUGACGGUACCUAAUCAGAAAGCCACGGCUAACUACGUGCCAGCAGCCGCGGUAAUACGUAGGUGGCAAGCGUUAUCCGGAAUUAUUGGGCGUAAAGCGCGCGUAGGCGGUUUUUUAAGUCUGAUGUGAAAGCCCACGGCUCAACCGUGGAGGGUCAUUGGAAACUGGAAAACUUGAGUGCAGAAGAGGAAAGUGGAAUUCCAUGUGUAGCGGUGAAAUGCGCAGAGAUGUGGAGGAACACCAGUGGCGAAGGCGACUUUCUGGUCUGUAACUGACGCUGAUGUGCGAAAGCGUGGGGAUCAAACAGGAUUAGAUACCCUGGUAGUCCACGCCGUAAACGAUGAGUGCUAAGUGUUAGGGGGUUUCCGCCCCUUAGUGCUGCAGCUAACGCAUUAAGCACUCCGCCUGGGGAGUACGACCGCAAGGUUGAAACUCAAAGGAAUUGACGGGGGCCCGCACAAGCGGUGGAGCAUGUGGUUUAAUUCGAAGCAACGCGAAGAACCUUACCAAAUCUUGACAUCCUUUGACAACUCUAGAGAUAGAGCCUUCCCCUUCGGGGGACAAAGUGACAGGUGGUGCAUGGUUGUCGUCAGCUCGUGUCGUGAGAUGUUGGGUUAAGUCCCGCAACGAGCGCAACCCUUAAGCUUAGUUGCCAUCAUUAAGUUGGGCACUCUAAGUUGACUGCCGGUGACAAACCGGAGGAAGGUGGGGAUGACGUCAAAUCAUCAUGCCCCUUAUGAUUUGGGCUACACACGUGCUACAAUGGACAAUACAAAGGGCAGCGAAACCGCGAGGUCAAGCAAAUCCCAUAAAGUUGUUCUCAGUUCGGAUUGUAGUCUGCAACUCGACUACAUGAAGCUGGAAUCGCUAGUAAUCGUAGAUCAGCAUGCUACGGUGAAUACGUUCCCGGGUCU
rnacentral:rRNA from 1 species